CCGAGAAAAUAUGACAAUCUGCUUCUGGCGUGACUGGUUGAUUGACAUAGAAGAAGGAGAAUGCAGUCCAGUCACCCUUGAGAGGGUUUUGGAAUUUUCGUCUGGAGCCUCUGUAGUCCCUCCACUGGGAUUUCCACACCCUCCUCAAAUACAGUUCAUUCAUGAAGAGAACCGAAUCUUCCCUGAAGCAAACACGUGUAUUGUUACACUAUGCCUGCCGCUGCACUCUUCUUAUGAAUGGUUUAAAAAACAUAUGAUGGAGGGAAUUUUGCAAGCGCCGACCUUUGGUCUUGCAUAAUGUUACCGUGUUUGUUUUUAAAAUUGUUCAGUGCAGGUUGUUAGAGGGCAUGCCUCUAUUGUUCCCAAUUGUUUUCUACAUUCUAGUUUUACAAGUGCUCUUUAACUUGGCACUUGUUGUUCUAAUCACAACCCUAUCACCAGAUUUGUGCCCACCCUCUGCCACUCCGCCAAUGCUGGGCCCACGACACAGGCCACAAUGCCUGUUAGUUGGGCAUCAACCACAGCUGCCAUCAAGUGCCAAGUGCACUUGCACCUUCACUUUUAAUGAUGUGGUACUCUGUUAAUGUUAUGUCCAAUUUCAUGCACUUUUAAAUAUUUUCUAUGUCCAAAUCUUACAAGUGCUCCUUGCCUCUGUGGCACUUGUUGUUCUCUUUACUGUGGUCAUCCCCACUUGCUGCACUCUCAAUAAAGUGGUCAGUGCUACAAUGA